AUGUCACGGAACUCGGCGUUGAAGAGCGUGUCGAGCUCCACGGCGAAGAUGUGGUCGCUCCGGUUUCCGCCGUCGGUGUCGUUGAGGAGGCCCAGGAACUGGCCUGGCAUCGCCGUGGAGAGCAGCUCCCUGGACGCGGAGACGAAGAAGGCCAUGCCGUGGCUGCUCAGGUCCGCGUACUGCCCGAAAAUGGCGAAGACGAAAGUGGUCGAGAAGGACCGCGCGGCGCCGGUGCCGUUCGCCUCCCCGUCGCCGCGGAACGGCAGGGGGGACGGGUGGAAGGCCUGGCCUUUCGUCUGA
rnacentral:rRNA from 1 species